ACGUAUUAAAAAAAAACUACUUACUAGAUCUCGUUCAAACCAAUUUUCGGUGGAAUUUUACACGGUAAUGUACAUCAUAUAUUUUUUUUAGUUUUAUCAUUCUGUUAUUUUAGAAGUUACAGGGGGGGGGGACACAUUUUACCACUUUGGAAGUGUCUCUCGCGCAAACUAAUCAUUUAGAAAAAAAUGAUAUUAGAAACCUCAAUAUCAUUUUUGAAGACCUAUCCAUAGAUACCCCACACGUAUGGGUUUGAUGAAAAAAAAUUUUUUGAGUUUCAGUUCUAAGUAUGGGGAACCCCAAAAAU